UUGAGCCGUAUGACGGGAAACUGUCACGUACGGUUCUGAGGGGGGAAAGGAGCCGAAAGGCUCCUGACCUACCCGGU
rnacentral:ncRNA from 1 species